UACGAAGGGGGCUAGCGUUGCUCGGAAUCACUGGGCGUAAAGGGCGCGUAGGUGGCUUGGUAAGCGUGUGGUGAAAGCCUGGGCUCAACCCCAGGUCUGCCGUGCGAACUGCCAAGCUUGAGCAUAGUAGAGGCAGGUGGGAAUUUCGGGUGUAGCGGUGGAAUGCGUAGAUAUCCGAAAGAACACCGGUGGCGAAGGCGGCCUGCUGGGCUAUUGCUGACACUGAGGCGCGACAGCGUGGGAGCAAACAGGAUUGAGA
rnacentral:rRNA from 1 species